CGGGGUGUAGCGCAGUCUGGUAGCGCGCCUGCUUUGGGAGCAGGAAGUCGGGGGUUCGAAUCCCUCCACCCCGA
rnacentral:tRNA from 1 species